UACAGAGGUCUCAAGCGUUUGUUCGGGAUUCAUUGGGCGUAAAGGGUGUGUAGGUGGCGCCGUAAGUCGGGUGUGAAAUUUCGGAGCUUAACUCCGAACUGCAUUCGAUACUGCGGUGCUUGAGGACUGGAGAGGAGACUGGAAUUCAUGGUGUAGCAGUGAAAUGCGUAGAGAUCAUGAGGAAGACCAGUGGCGAAGGCGGGUCUCUGGACAGUUCCUGACACUGAGACACGAAGGCCAGGGAGCAAACGGG
rnacentral:rRNA from 1 species